rnacentral:rRNA from 1 species
UGGGGAAUAUUGCACAAUGGGGGAAACCCUGAUGCAGCGACGCAGCGUGCGGGAUGACGGCCUUCGGGUUGUAAACCGCUUUCAGCAGGGAAGAAGCCUCACGGUGACGGUACCUGCAGAAGAAGUACCGGCUAACUACGUG